UACGGGGGGUGCAAGCGUUAUCCGGAUUCACUGGGUUUAAAGGGUGCGUAGGCGGACAGGUAAGUCAGUGGUGAAAUCUCUGGGCUUAACCCAGAAACUGCCGUUGAUACUAUUUGUCUUGAAUAUCCUGGAGGUAGGCGGAAUAUGUCAUGUAGCGGUGAAAUGCUUAGAUAUGACAUAGAACACCGAUAGCGAAGGCAGCUUACUACAGGAUGAUUGACGCUGAGGCACGAAAGCGUGGGGAGCAAACAGG
rnacentral:rRNA from 1 species